AAAAGACCUAUUGAUUUUUUUUUAAUUUUUAAUAUAGUUACGUAUCUUUUACAUUUGGCGUCUUUACCAAUUUUUUUUCUAAAGAAUAUGCAUUGUCUCGUUUAUGCUGAAGGACCUUCACAGACGAAAAUGUCAAUUUUAAGGGAAAAAAUCAUCUUUUCUUCAAGAAAUUUUACAAAUAUUGGCAUUAUAUUGGAAGUUUUUAUACAUUUUUUUAUUUAUUUGAAUAAAAAUUUGAAAAAUGCCUACUACUGGGACAUGCCGAACUUAGGCGCACUUUAACCUAUUCCAUUUUCAAACUUCAUAUAAUGCUGAUGAAAUUAUUGGAAUGUACAAAGUUUAAAUAAAAAAAAAAACAAAAUAUUUUUCCAAAUGUAUUCAAAUAGUUGUUAACAAAAAUGAAGAAAUGUUUAAAUACACGAUGUUUGAAGAUAAUCCCUGCCUUCCUUUUCAUGUAUAAGAUUUAUGAUUGUUCAAAAUUUUGAGCCUUGUGGAGAAGGUGGUAAAAGGAGCGGGCCGAUAACUUCCAUAUUCACAUCAGAUCUCUGGUUGAUAAAAAUGUUGUAAUAUACAAAGUUUAUAAUUGUUCAACCUGUUGAUUCAUUGUGGGAAAGGUACCAGGAGAUGGGGCCACAUCUCCACACUAGACCUUGUGUUGGUAGAAUAUUUAGGAUAUGCUAUGUUUGAAAAGAAAGUGAUGCUCAUUCUGUGUUUUAUGAGUGUCAUGGUUAUUCAAAAUUUUGAUCCGUUGUGGGGUAGGUACAAAAAUGAGUAGACCCCUAUAUCAAAUUUUGUGUUGAUGUUGAAAGAGUGGUCCGUUCUAUCCGUUCUUCAUAUCAGAUCUUGUGUUGGUAGACAUAUUAUGAUGUACGGUAUUUGAAGACAAUAAUUCUAUUAUUUCUUAUUUCACAUUUUAUAAGGUGGGGGAUUAGCGUUCCUGUUACACCAUUCUAUUCAAUACAGACCUAUCUCGCCUGAGCUAGUCCUUAGUGGCCCAUACAUGGAAUGUGGGUGGGGUAGCAGUCAAGUGUGGAGGUAGAGGUGCUUAAUGUGUAUAUCCCGCCAGUUAAUAACUGUGAACCGCGUUUCUUGCCUAAUAUAAGUCCACUUUUGGAAGGCAAUAACCACCUGGUACUAGGGGAUUUCAAUGCCCACCAUGAGUUGUGGCAUUCCGUCCUAGGUAAUGACCAGAGGGGAUCAGCGUUGGCAGAGCAGAUUGACUGCUCCACAUUUUGCACGGUAAACGAGGAUGCCCCCACCCGCAUAAGAAGAGAGUGUCACAGUUUUGAUGUUUUGCAACAUUGAAACCGAUUUAAGUAAACUGUGGGUAACGUAAAGUCACUCUUGAACCCUGGGAAAAAGGAUGAUAGGACUGCAGUUACACAUAACGACGUAACGGUGACUGAUCCGAAGAGGUGCGCUGGUCAUUUUAACCGCCAAUUCGUCGAGCACCCUGAGAGUGACAGGGCGAGACGAAGAGUACUACGUCGUAUAAGAGCUCUUCCCUCCGAGGAUGUACCUCCACAGUUUACGAUGGGUAAUGUUGCGAAUGUCAUACGAAACGCUAAGUCGCGUUGGGCCCGGACGGAAUAUCAAUGUUGAAGCAACUUCACACCGGGAGUUGAGUAUCUAACCAAAGUCCUUAACUUGUCAAAAACGUCGGCUGCCUAGGCAGACCAGGGUAGUUUUGACCCAACUACCUUCAAGAUUGUGCAGCCGUCUCAAUUCGUGUUGGACACGAAUUGACGAAGAUGUGCGGAACGCCUGCCCAGCAUGCGAUACUGGCCCGCACAAUACGCCGCAUCUGGUUAAUUGUCCAACUCGGUCCAGAGGAUAUCUGGCUACAGCCCAUAAAGGUAGCAGAAUUCCUAAACCUGGACAUUGAGGAAGAACCGGAUUAAUCAGAAUAUAAACAAUGGAGCAUGUUAACACUGCUACAACAACAACUGUUGAUAACACAUACCCAUUUAUACUAUAAUUUAAUUUUAAUUUAGGGUUAGAUUUAAAAAAAACACAUAUGCUUACACUUUUUUAAAUUCAACUCCAUGCCAUUGAGUUGACGCCAAUUAAAAAGCCUAUUUAAAUCUCUUUACAGUAAGUCAAAAUGAGUCAAGAAGAUUUAUGAGUCAAGAAUAAUUUUAAAUCUUCAGCGUACUUUAAUAAUUUUAGAAUACUCAAUUGAAUUUGGUAGAUCAUUAGCAAACCAUAGAAAUAGAGCUGGCCCCAGGAUGACUUCCUUGUGGAACACCAGAUGGAACAUCAAGAGAUUUAGAAUGGCAAUUUCAAACAAAACUAUCUGUGAACUAUCGCACAAAUAGGAUGAAAUCCAUAAAACCAAGUAUUUAAUAAUGGUAGAUGGAACCAGGAGUAUUCAGUACAAGAAGUCUAUGAAGAAGGUUGUAAGGAAGUAACUGAAAACACCAUGGCGGCCUCAUUAAAAACACAUUGCUACUGCCGAGGAGAUUUGUGCAAUAAAUCAAAUAAAAUUUUUAAUGUAAAAACUGUCAUUGUGAUAACUGCGCUUGGUGCACUUAUGAUAUGUUUCCAAAAUAAAUAUAUUUAAGUGUGAAAGAAUCUCUACUCUAAACAUGGUGUUCUAUCGUAUGUCUUGGUACACAUUCGUAUUAAAUAAUAAUUGUGAUAAGUUAAUUGUGAAUAAAUAAAGUACAUGAGAUUAUUAUGUGUAAAAAUUUGG